AUUAGCAGUGAUAGCUUGUUGAAAUGCACCAGUUCCUUAUGUAUCACUGAAGUUAAACAACGUUGCGCAUGGUUAGUGUCCCUGUGGGUGACAAUCUGUGAAAUCGCGUGCUGCUGGCU
rnacentral:rRNA from 1 species